GCCCAGGUGGCGAAAUAGGUAGACGCAAGGGACUUAAAAUCCCUCGGGACUUAACAUCCCAUGCCGGUUCGACCCCGGCUCUGGGCACCA
rnacentral:tRNA from 1 species